AUGCUGGCUGUUGCGUUCUUGGCUGCAGAGAGUAAAGGAUCACAAAGGCUGAUGAAAGUGCAGGAAAGAUCUGUUUCUCGUGUCGUUGAAGGUAGAGCACCGACUCAGGUGUCGGGGAAGGAGGAGAGAGGACGUUUGAAGAAGGGAGGCCGCGCGGGUGAGGGGAGCCCCGCGUGGAGCCCCUCUGCCGGCUGGCACGCCAACCGAAACGCCCCGGCUUCAGAAGGGACGAGUUCUGAACAAGAUGUGGGCCUGAGCAGCCUAAAUUCAACCGGAGGUCAAAAAUUACAGGCUGUGUGAGCAGGGCGGCUUAUCCCAUGUCAUCUAGUUUUCCUGAUUAAAAAAAAAAAAGGUAAAAAACCCCCCAGAAGUUGCAAGAGUUGCAGGGAGCUGCACUGCCCGUACGUUGCUGUGAGACGGCUCACAGAAGAUGUGAGCGAGAAGUUGCUGUUAAAUAGCAUGUUGCCAGUUUUGUAUAUUUGAAGGUAAUUGUGGGGGAAAGACGAUGAUCUGGAAAACUGAAGGGAGAGAACGCGAAAGCGCCAUGGUGCUUGGGCUUCGUUGCAGGAUGCGACCGACCCUGGAGCGACUCUCCAGCCUCAGCUCCGUGCCGAAGGCGACAGGAGCGUGUUUCCCCCAAGGAGUGUUUAUUACAGGGUUGCACAACUCAGAUCGGGUGCUCUCAAAGACAUAGCGAUGCUGGAGCGGUAACUGGGAUUCAGGAUGCCAGUCAUGCCGAAGAGGCAGAUCCUCAGCUAGGACAAGGGGUCACCUCUGCAGCGAAGGGUCUGGCUUUCUCCAGCACCCGGCCUUUGUGCGGAAGGGGAGGGUCUGCAUCCCGCCGACGCGCUGAGCGCGGCAGCGGGCCGGGCUGGCGCCCGGCGGGCAGCCGCCCNNNNNNNNNNNNNNNNNNNNNNNNNNNNNNNNNNNNNNNNNNNNNNNNNNNNNNAGGAGAUCCCCUGCUAAGGUUGUUGGUAGCCCGGCAGCCCCUUAGGAGCGAAACCGCUGCCAGAGAGAGCACCACCGCGGGACAGGGGAAGCGUGCGAGAGCUGCCUCGGGUCUGCUGCGCGUUAACGGCCGUUCAGCCGGGGAUCGGAUUCGUCACCGCUCGCCAGUUCAUCAGUUCUGUUCGGCUCCAGAUCCUCCACGAGGAGAGGCAGUUUUACUAGGUGGCUUUAAUUGA
rnacentral:lncRNA from 1 species